UACGUAGGGUGCGAGCGUUGUCCGGAAUUACUGGGCGUAAAGAGCUCGUAGGCGGUUUGUCGCGUCGUCCGUGAAAACUUGGGGCUCAACCCCAAGCUUGCGGGCGAUACGGGCAGACUUGAGUACUGCAGGGGAGACUGGAAUUCCUGGUGUAGCGGUGAAAUGCGCAGAUAUCAGGAGGAACACCGGUGGCGAAGGCGGGUCUCUGGGCAGUAACUGACGCUGAGGAGCGAAAGCGUGGGUAGCGAACGGG
rnacentral:rRNA from 1 species